rnacentral:rRNA from 1 species
GACGUAGGGCGCGAGCGUUGUCCGGAUUUAUUAGGCGUAAAGAGCUCGUAGGCGGCUUGUCGCGUCGACUGUGAAAACCCGCGGCUCAACUGUGGGCUUGCAGUCGAUACGGGCAGGCUGGAGUUCGGUAGGGGAGACUGGAAUUCCUGGUGUAGCGGUGAAAUGCGCAGAUAUCAGGAGGAACGCCGGUGGCGAAAGCGAUCCGCUGGACUUCUUCUGACGCUGAGGCGCGAAAGCCAGGGGAGCAAACGGG